rnacentral:rRNA from 1 species
GAUGAACGCUGGCGGCGUGCCUAACACAUGCAAGUCGAGCGGGGAUAUGUUUGGUGCUUGCACCGAGCAUAUUUUAGCGGCGGACGGGUGAGUAACGCGUGGGUAACCUGCCUUUCACAGGGGAAUAACAAUGAGAAAUCAUUGCUAAAACCCCAUAAGCUCACAGCCUCGCAUGGGGCGGGGAGAAAAUAUUUAUAGGCGAAAGAGGGGCCCGCGGCUGAUUAGCUUGUUGGCGGGGUAACGGCCCACCAAGGCGACGAUCAGUAGCCGAUCUGAGAGGGUGAUCGGCAACAUGGGGACUGAGACACGGCCCAAACUCCUACGGGAGGCAGCAGUGGGGAAUAUUGCACAAUGGGCGCAAGCCUGAUGCAGCAACGCCGCGUGAAGGAUGAAGGGUUUCGGCUCGUAAACUUCUUUAGGCAGGGACGAAGAGCGUGACGGUACCUGCAGAAUAAGCCCCGGCUAACUACGUGCCAGCAGCCGCCGUAAAAC